rnacentral:rRNA from 1 species
UACGAAGGGGGCUAGCGUUGCUCGGAAUCACUGGGCGUAAAGGGUGCGUAGGCGGGUUUUUAAGUCAGGGGUGAAAUCCUGGAGCUCAACUCCAGAACUGCCUUUGAUACUGAAGAUCUUGAGUCCGGGAGAGGUGAGUGGAACUGCGAGUGUAGAGGUGAAAUUCGUAGAUAUUAGGAAGAACACCAGUGGCGAAGGCGGCUCACUGGCCCGGUACUGACGCUCAUGUGCGAAAGCGUGGGAGCAAACAGG